GUGUGUUGCUCGGGUCGGGUCGGGUAUAUUCUUUCCCCCGCCUGUUAGAAGUAGGUGCCAUAGCUCGUCCUUUGAUGAGGUCAAUGUGCAGUACCAAACCUAGCCUUUGGUUUGUUGUGUGAUGAAAUUAACAACGCCAACUGUAUGCUUUGCUGUCGUGCAACAUCAGGUGCUGCUGUGUUAAUAAGGACUCCGAACAAAUGUUUUGUUCUUUUUGUCCACUGCCUCCAGCCAUCACUGUGUUGGUCGUUUUAGAUUAUCUGUGUUAUAAUAAAAUAUCCU